AAUGAUUGUGCCUAAAAAAAGAAUUAUUUUAAUGAAAUAAAUUAUAUAAAUUUUAAAUUUAUCAUCAUUU
rnacentral:tRNA from 1 species